UUGCCUGGCCUUCCUUGGCUCCUAGCAAAUCAGCAGGUGUCUCCUGCAUAUCUAAGAGCCUUCCUGCACAUGGGCUCAGGAGAGAGUCCCAGGAUGGUGUAUGCUUAUUUGCCUCACUCACUUCCAGCAUGGCCAUGUAAGCAGUGCACAAAAGUGGGGGUGUGCCCAGGCCUCAAAGGUUUGGGCUUGUCCUCUGGUGCUCCUGCCUUCACCAUGAGAUAUGUAUACCUUGUAUGAGUCACAGUUCCACGAUGGAGAGCUACAUGGAGCAGACCUAACCCAAGCCUAGCUGAGUUCAGCCAACCUACGGACCCAAGAGUGAAAAGAAAGAAAUGUCUCUUGUAAGCCACUGAGAUUUGGGGAUUAUUUGUUACACAGCAGUAUCACAGCCAAGCCUAACUAAUGAGUGUUCAUGGUUUUUUUUAUUGCAUGAAACUGCUCCAGUACUCAAGUCUGAGAUGCUCACUCUGAGGCAUAUCAUCAAGGAAUUGAGCUUUAGUGAGCAGUUUUUCCCCCCUCCAGACUCCUUUCCAUGACCUUUUCCUGGAGUGUGCAUCUCCUACAUCUAUAGGACAAUUAACCACAUGGAAGAAUUUUGCCUCCUCCCCAACAAGCCAUUCCACAGGUGCUCAGACCUGCCUGUCCCUGACAAGGGCUGUUCUUGUUGUGGUCAGACCUCAGCUUCUUGGGGACAGUGAUGAGGCUGGAGCUCACAGAGAUGGAGGAGCCUCUGAAGCUGCAGCAGCCGGAGCAGAACGCACAGCUGCAGAGCCCUCUGGAAAGAACAGAGAAGAGAAGUGGACGUCGCAGACCUGAACGAGGAUGUUCUCUGUGAUGUCAGGUAAUGGGGACCCAGUGAUGAAUAGAGAUUCUUCAAGCUGCUCAGAGCCUAGCAGGGGACCUCGAACCCUAAAGAAGCACAGGCGGAAGGAGGUAGGUGGGCAACGCCCUGGCUUGCCCUUCCUUUGCAUCAUCCAUCAAACA